rnacentral:rRNA from 1 species
GACGUAGGAGGCGAGCGUUGUCCGGAUUCAUUGGGCGUAAAGGGUGCGCAGGCGGCGCGGUAAGUCGGGUGUGAAAUCUCGGAGCUUAACUCCGAAACUGCAUUCGAUACUGCCGUGCUUGAGGACUGGAGAGGAGACUGGAAUUUACGGUGUAGCGGUGAAAUGCGUAGAUAUCGUAAGGAAGACCAGUGGCGAAGGCGGGUCUCUGGACAGUUCCUGACGCUGAGGCACGAAGGUCAGGGGAGCAAACGGG